rnacentral:lncRNA from 1 species
GUCAUUAGGGCAUGCGUGUAUCUUCUGAACAUCCAAUCCGAGAGGGCAAAUAAUCUGUUUAGCUUCAUAUGUUGUGGACGGUAAUUCAUUAUUCUCGGGGAGAAUCUUCUUGACAAUGUUCAACAUCCCCUGAAAUGCCUUAUCGGACACACCAUUUUUUGCCUUCCAUUGCACAAAUUCUAGUGUCGUACCUAGUUUUUUAUAGCCCUACUGGCAACCUGGGUACAACAAUUUUUGGUGAUCAUCUAUCAUGAGUUGCAACUUUGCUGCUUCCUUCUUAGUUUCGCAAUCUCUGUAUGCAUCUCGUAUCACCUGACCAAGGUCAUCAGUAGGGCCAUUUUCUGCAAACCCAUCUUCAUCAGCCUCGCCCAUUGUAGUACCUGCAAAAGCUUGGCCUGCAACCCAGUCCGGAAUGGUGUCAUCUUCCUCCUCCUCCUCGCCAUCUUCCAUUAC